rnacentral:rRNA from 1 species
CCAGCUGUAAACGAUGGAUACUAGGUGUGGGGGGAUCGACCCCCUCCGUGCCGCAGUUAACGCAAUAAGUAUCCCACCUGGGGAGUACGGCCGCAAGGCUGAAACUCAAAGGAAUUGACGGGGGCCCGCACAAGCGGUGGAGCAUGUGGUUUAAUUCGAUGCAACGCGAAGAACCUUACCGGGAUUUGACAUCUCCUGUUACCCUUUGAAAGAAGGGGUUCUCUUCGGAGACAGGAAGACAGGUGG